UCACAUGUUUCGAAUUGUUUGUUGCUAACCUAGAAUACCCAAAGAACAAGUCAUAGAGUUUUGCUUCAUAAUUUUCUUGGUUCUUUUUUGGGAACCAUAUUAACUGAUGAUGUUUUGCUUCUUUCAAUUUCCCCAUCAAAGGUUAUUAGUUGAUUUACUUACAGCAUGUUAUGCACCACCAUCGCAAUUUACUUACUGCAUGUUAUGCACCACUACCGGUAGCAUUGAUGUAAAACGUGUUGAACAGUGUAUCUUUUCAUGAAGAGAGGUACAUGUUUUUAACGAAGUUUGUUCCUUUUCAGUGUAUCUGAAGCUAAGCUUCCAGAGUAUCCACAGAAGACUGAAGCAUUGCAUGUACAUUUGCAGGUUGGAAUCUGAGAGGUCCCCAUCCCAGAUGAGGAAAGAGGAUUUCCUGCCCAUUGGGGGAGAAGAUCUCAAAGGCCGGAAAAAGUAUCCAGGAUUUCAAUGGACAAUGGGGACAUGAGUUUGCUUGCAACAGCUGAACAUGACUGAUAGAUUCCAUUUUGCAAACAGUGACAGCCCUCCCAUUUAGUAUUGGUCAUCCAUCUGCUUUCGAUGCAAUUUUCGGACA